GACGAACGCUGGCGGCGUGCCUAAUACAUGCAAGUAGAACGCACAGUUUAUACCGUAGCUUGCUACACCAUAGACUGUGAGUUGCGAACGGGUGAGUAACGCGUCGGUAACCUGCCUGGUAGCGGGGGAUAACUAUUGGAAACGAUAGCUAAUACCGCAUAAUAUUAAUUAUUGCAUGAUAAUUGAUUGAAAGAUGCAACUGCAUCACUACCAGAUGGACCUGCGUUGUAUUAGCUAGUAGGUGAGGUAACGGCUCACCUAGGCGACGAUACAUAGCCGACCUGAGAGGGUGAGCGGCCACACUGGGACUGAGACACGGCCCAGACUCCUACGGGAGGCAGCAGUAGGGCAUCGUCGGCAAUGGACGAAAGUCUGACCGAGCAACGCCGCGUGAGGGAAGAAGGUUUUCGGAUCGUAAAGCUCGGUUGUAAGAGAAGAACGGGUGUGAGAGUGGAAAGUUCACACUGUGACGGUAUCUUACCAGAAAGGGACGGCUAACUACGUG
rnacentral:rRNA from 1 species